GAUGAACGCUGGCGGCGUGCCUAAUACAUGCAAGUCGAGCGAACGGACGAGAAGCUUGCUUCUCUGAUGUUAGCGGCGGACGGGUGAGUAACACGUGGAUAACCUACCUAUAAGACUGGGAUAACUUCGGGAAACCGGAGCUAAUACCGGAUAAUAUUUUGAACCGCAUGGUUCAAAAGUGAAAGACGGUCUUGCUGUCACUUAUAGAUGGAUCCGCGCUGCAUUAGCUAGUUGGUAAGGUAACGGCUUACCAAGGCAACGAUGCAUAGCCGACCUGAGAGGGAGAUCGGCCACACUGGAACUGAGAAACGGUCCAGACUCCUACGGGAGGCAGCAGUAGGGAAUCUUCCGCAAUGGGCGAAAGCCUGACGGAGCAACGCCGCGUGAGGGAUGAAGGUCUUCGGAUCGUAAAACUCUGUUAUUAGGGAAGAACAUAUGUGUAAGUAACUGUGCACAUCUUGACGGUACCUAAUCAGAAAGCCACGGCUAACUACGUG
rnacentral:rRNA from 1 species